rnacentral:lncRNA from 1 species
CACCAGUUGGAUUAGACGCGGUUCAUAUCUGGCUCGCAUGGAGAAGAAGAAGACGGCGGUGGUGGUGGGUUCGCCCAGAGCGAGGUCUUGCACCCGGCCGUGGAGAUGGGCCAAGACGCUCUUCUUCCUGGCCACCAUGUUGGCCUCCCUCCUCCUCGUCUGCGCUCCGCCGCUCCUCGUCGUCCUGGUCGACCUCCUCCUCCCGCCGGCUCUGCUCUCCAACUCUUCCCUCUCCGCUUCGUCUCUCUGCGAACAGCUCGAGAGCUUCGUCUUCCGAUCCUCCUUGGUCGACGUGCCGAUCGUUUCCGCAGUCAGAUCCUUCCUCAUCCUGUGUAAGCACCAGUGGAGG